rnacentral:rRNA from 1 species
AGAGUUUGAUCCUAGCUCAGGAUGAAUGCUGGCGGCGUGGAUGAGGCAUGCAAGUCGAAUGGGUUUAGGCCCAUGGCAGACGAGGUAGGAACACGUAGGUACGUACCCCAAAGUCAGGGAUAAUCCGUCGAAAGGCGGCACAAUACUUGAUGGUCUCUUCGGAGUAAAGAUUUAUCGCUUUGGGAACGGCCUGCGGGCUAUCAGCUUGUUGGUAAGGUAACGGCUUACCAAGGCUACGACGGCUAGGGGAGGUGAGAGCCUGACCCCCACCGAUGGAACUGCGACACGGUCCAUACUCCUACGGGAGGCUGCAGUCGAGAAUCUUCCGCAAUGGACGAAAGUCUGACGGAGCGACGCCGCGUGGUGGAUGAAGUCCUUAGGGACGUAAACACCUUUUAUGGAGGAGAAAGUUUAUUGAUGUUACUCCAUGAAUAAGGGGCUCCCAACUCUGUGCCAGCAGGAGCGGUAAUACAGAGGCCCCAAGCAUUAUCCGGAUUUACUGGGCGUAAAGGGUGCGUAGGCGGUUAUAUUAGUCAGGUGUUAAAUCUUUGGGCUCAACCCAAAAAUCGCAUUUGAAACGGUAUAACUAGAAGAAGUCAGAGGCAAGCAGAACUCACGGUGUAGGGGUGAAAUCCGUUGAUAUCGUGGGGAAUACCAAAUGCGAAGGCAGCUUGCUGGGACUCUCUUGACGCUGAGGCACGAAAGCGUGGGUAGCGAAGCGGAUUAGAUACCCGCGUAGUCCACGCCCUAAACGCUGUCUGUUGGUUUUUAGGAGUAUCGACCCUCUUAGAGACGAAGCUAACGCGUUAAACAGACCGCCUGGGUAGUACGAUCGCAAGAUUAAAACUCAAAGGAAUAGACGGGGGCUCGCACAAGCGGUGGAUCAUGUGGCUUAAUUCGUAGCUAAGCGAAGAACCUUACCCAGAUUAGAAAUCAUACUGCACGCCCCGGGAAACCGGGGAAGCCUUCGAGGGUGUAUGACAGGUGAUGCAUGGCCGUCGUCAGUUCGUGGCUUGAGCUGUUCCCUUAAGUGGGGAAACGAACGCAACCCUCGUUGCCUGUUACAAGUGUCAGGCGAGACUGCUCCCUCACGGGAGAGGAAGGUGAGGAUGACGCCUGGUCAGCAUGUCCCUUGAUAUCUGGGGCUGCACACGUGAUACAAUGGGUAGUACAACGGGACGCAAUACGGUAACGUGGAGCAAAUCCUUAUAAAACUAUCCUCAGUUCGGAUUGAGGUCUGCAACUCGACCUCAUGAAGUUGGAAUCGCUAGUAAUCGUGAAUCAGCAACGUCACGGUGAAUACGUUCCCGAGCCUUGUACUCACCGCCCGUCAAGUCAGGGGAGUCGGGAGUGCCCGAAAUACCAUCUCGUAUGGUCUUACGGUAAGCUCGAUAACAAGGACUAAGUCGUAACAAGGCA